UACGUAGGGUGCGAGCGUUAAUCGGAAUUACUGGGCGUAAAGCGUGCGCAGGCGGUUUUGUAAGCCAGAUGUGAAAGCCCCGGGCUUAACCUGGGAAUGGCAUUUGGGACUGCAAGGCUUGAGUGCGGCAGAGGAGACUGGAAUUCCUGGUGUAGCAGUGAAAUGCGUAGAUAUCAGGAGGAAUACCGAUGGCGAAGGCGGCAUCCUGGACCAACACUGACGCUGAUGAGCGAAAGCCAGGGGAGCAAACGGG
rnacentral:rRNA from 1 species